rnacentral:rRNA from 1 species
UGAUGGCGACCGGCGCACGGGUGAGUAACGCGUAUCCAACCUACCCUUGUCCAUCGGAUAACCCGUCGAAAGGCGGCCUAACACGAUAUGCGGUUCACAGCAGGCAUCUAAGGUGAACGAAAUGUGAAGGAGAAGGAUGGGGAUGCGUCUGAUUAGCUUGUUGGCGGGGUAACGGCCCACCAAGGCUACGAUCAGUAGGGGUUCUGAGAGGAAGGUCCCCCACAUUGGAACUGAGACACGGUCCAAACUCCUACGGGAGGCAGCAGUGAGGAAUAUUGGUCAAUGGACGAGAGUCUGAACCAGCCAAGUAGCGUGCAGGAUGACGGCCCUAUGGGUUGUAAACUGCUUUUAUAGGGGGAUAAAGUGUGCCACGUGUGGCAUAUUGCAGGUACCCUAUGAAUAAGGACCGGCUAAUUCCGUGCCAGCAGCCGCGGUAAUACGGAAGGUCCAGGCGUUAUCCGGAUUUAUUGGGUUUAAAGGGAGCGUAGGCCGUUUGGUAAGCGUGUUGUGAAAUGUCGGGGCUCAACCUGGGCAUUGCAGCGCGAACUGCCAGACUUGAGUGCGCAGGAAGUAGGCGGAAUUCGUCGUGUAGCGGUGAAAUGCUUAGAUAUGACGAAGAACUCCGAUCGCGAACGCAGCCUGCUGUAGCGCAACUGACGCUGAAUCUCGAAAGCGUGGGUAUCGAACAGGAUUAGAUACCCUGG